CGUCUAUAUACGUAUAGCAUAUCAAUAAGCGGAGGAAAAGAAACUAACAAGGAUUCCCUUAGUAACGGCGAGUGAAGCGGGAAGAGCUCAAAUUUGAAAUCUUCAAGGUUCUACCUUGACGAAUUGUAGUUUAUAAGAAGUGUUUUCUGUUAGUGGAGUGGCAAAAGUUCUUUGGAAUAGGACAUCAUAGAGGGUGAGAAUCCCGUAUUUGGUCAUUCCUCCUAGCGUUGUGAUACACUUUCAACGAGUCGGAUUGUUUGGGAAUGCAGUCCAAAAUGGGUGGUAAAUUUCAUCUAAAGCUAAAUACUUAGCGAGAGACCGAUAGCGAACAAGUACCGUGAGGGAAAGAUGAAAAGAACUUUGAAAAGAGAGUUAAACAGUACGUGAAAUUGUCAAAAGGGAAGCGUUUGACACCAGUGUUGUUUUCUCGAAAAUCAAUUAAAAAAGGACCUGGAUUUUGUGUUGUAUUGACUUUAUCAGCUUUCUGCACUUUUUCUUGUCUUUUUUAAUGCACUUUUCGUUUAACAAGUCAACAUCAAUUUCUUUUGUUGUAAAAGGGUCAUUGAGGAAGGUGGCUUUCUUUUCGGAGAAAGUGUUUAUAGCCUUGUGCCUCUGCAAUCGGAGAGAUUGAGGUCUGCAGCGUAGAUCCUUCGGGGUUAGAUACAGUUUGUGCUAAGUUAUAGCUUUUCAUAGACAACUUGUUGACUAUGUUUAGUCAUGCGGCUUACUCGCUUAUGCUAUUUUACCUACGCUUAGGAUGUUGACUGAUAUGUAGUCGUA
rnacentral:rRNA from 1 species